AGAGUUUGAUCCUGGCUCAGGAUGAACGCUGGCGGCGUGCUUAACACAUGCAAGUCGAGCGAAGCACUUAUGAUGAUUCUUCGGAUGAAUCAUUUGUGACUGAGCGGCGGACGGGUGAGUAACGCGUGAGUAACCUGCCUCAUACAGGGGAAUAACAGUUAGAAAUGACUGCUAAUGCCGCAUAAGCGCACAGGGCCGCAUGGCCCGGUGUGAAAAACUCCGGUGGUAUGAGAUGGACUCGCGUCUGAUUAGCUAGUUGGUGAGGUAACGGCCCACCAAGGCGACGAUCAGUAGCCGGCCUGAGAGGGUGAACGGCCACAUUGGGACUGAGACACGGCCCAAACUCCUACGGGAGGCAGCAGUGGGGAAUAUUGCACAAUGGGGGAAACCCUGAUGCAGCGACGCCGCGUGGAGGAAGAAGGUCUUCGGAUUGUAAACUCCUGUUGUUGAGGAAGAUAAUGACGGUACUCAACAAGGAAGUGACGGCUAACUACGUGCCAGCAGCCGCGGUAAAACGUAGGUCACAAGCGUUGUCCGGAAUUACUGGGUGUAAAGGGAGCGCAGGCGGGCGAUCAAGUUGGAAGUGAAAUCCAUGGGCUCAACCCAUGAACUGCUUUCAAAACUGAUUGUCUUGAGUAGUGCAGAGGUAGGCGGAAUUCCCGGUGUAGCGGUGGAAUGCGUAGAUAUCGGGAGGAACACCAGUGGCGAAGGCGGCCUACUGGGCACCAACUGACGCUGAGGCUCGAAAGUGUGGGUAGCAAACAGGAUUAGAUACCCUGGUAGUCCACACCGUAAACGAUGAUUACUAGGUGUUGGAGGAUUGACCCUUUCAGUGCCGCAGUUAACACAAUAAGUAAUCCACCUGGGGAGUACGACCGCAAGGUUGAAACUCAAAGGAAUUGACGGGGGCCCGCACAAGCAGUGGAGUAUGUGGUUUAAUUCGACGCAACGCGAAGAACCUUACCAAGUCUUGACAUCCUGCGACGAUGCUAGAAAUAGUAUUUUCCUUCGGGACGCAGAGACAGGUGGUGCAUGGUUGUCGUCAGCUCGUGUCGUGAGAUGUUGGGUUAAGUCCCGCAACGAGCGCAACCCUUAUGGUCAGUUACUACGCAAGAGGACUCUGGCCAGACUGCCGUUGACAAAACGGAGGAAGGUGGGGAUGACGUCAAAUCAUCAUGCCCUUUAUGACUUGGGCUACACACGUACUACAAUGGCGUUAAACAAAGAGAAGCAAGACCGCGAGGUGGAGCAAAACUCAGAAACAACGUCCCAGUUCGGACUGCAGGCUGCAACUCGCCUGCACGAAGUCGGAAUUGCUAGUAAUCGCAGAUCAGCAUGCUGCGGUGAAUACGUUCCCGGGCCUUGUACACACCGCCCGUCACACCAUGAGAGCCGGGGGGACCCGAAGUCGGUAGUCUAACCGCAAGGAGGACGCCGCCGAAGGUAAAACUGGUGAUUGGGGUGAAGUCGUAACAAGGUA
rnacentral:rRNA from 1 species